rnacentral:rRNA from 1 species
GUUGGGUUAGUCCGCACGAGCGCACCCUGUCCUUAGUUGCCAGCACAUAAUGGUGGGGACUCUAAGGAGACUGCCUGGGAUAACCAGGAGGAAGGUGGGGAUGAUGUCAAGUCAGUAUGUCCCUUAUGUCCAGGGCUACACACGUGUUACAAUGGCCGGUACAAUGGGCUGCGAACCUGCGAGGGUAAGCCAAUCCCAAAAAACCGGCCCCAGUUCAGAUUGGAGUCUGCAACUCGACUCCAUGAAGUUGGAAUCGCUAGUAAUCGCGAAUCAGAAUGUCGCGGUGAAUACGUUCUCGGGCCUUGUACACACCGCCCGUCACGUCAUGGAAGUGGGUUGCACCAGAAGUGGCUUGUUUAACCUUCGGGAAAACGGUCACCACGGUGCGAUUCACAACUGGGACGAAGUCGUAACAAGGUAGCCCUAGGGGAACCUGGGGCUGGAUCACCUCCUU